CAGUAGCCGCGGUAAGACAGAGGAUGCAAGCGUUAUCCGGAAUGAUUGGGCGUAAAGCGUCUGUAGGUGGCUUUUCAAGUCCGCCGUCAAAUCCCAGGGCUCAACCCUGGACAGGCGGUGGAAACUACCAAGCUGGAGUACGGUAGGGGCAGAGGGAAUUUCCGGUGGGGCGGUGAAAUGCGUUGAGAUCGGAAAGAACACCUGUGGCGAAAGCGGCUCACUGGACCAUUUCUGACGCUGAUGCACGAAAGCUAGGGGAGCAAACAGGAUUAGAGACCCCCGUAGUCCCUGUCUCUUAUAC
rnacentral:rRNA from 1 species